rnacentral:rRNA from 1 species
UGGGGAAUUUUGGACAAUGGGCGCAAGCCUGAUCCAGCCAUGCCGCGUGCGGGAAGAAGGCCUUCGGGUUGUAAACCGCUUUUGUCAGGGAAGAAAUCUUCUGAGUUAAUACCUCGGGAGGAUGACGGUACCUGAAGAAUAAGCACCGGCUAACUACGUGCCAGCAGCCGCGGUAAUACGUAGGGUGCAAGCGUUAAUCGGAAUUACUGGGCGUAAAGCGUGCGCAGGCGGUUUUGUAAGACAGAGGUGAAAUCCCCGGGCUCAACCUGGGAACUGCCUUUGUGACUGCAAGGCUUGAGUGCGGCAGAGGGGGAUGGAAUUCCGCGUGUAGCAGUGAAAUGCGUAGAUAUGCGGAGGAACACCGAUGGCGAAGGCAAUCCCCUGGGCCUGCACUGACGCUCAUGCACGAAAGCGUGGGGAGCAAACAGGAUUAGAUACCCCUGGUAGUCCACGCCCUAAACGAUGUCAACUGGUUGUUGGGAAGGUUCCUUCUCAGUAACGUAGCUAACGCGUGAAGUUGACCGCCUGGGGAGUACGGCCGCAAGGUUGAAAC